GAAAUGCGAUAAGUAAUGUGAAUUGCAGAAUUCAGUGAAUCAUCGAAUCUUUGAACGCACCUUGCGCUCCUUGGUAUUCCUUGGAGCAUGCCUGUUUGAGUAUCAUGAAAUCUUCAAAGUAAAUCUUUUGUUAACUCAAUUGGUUUCUACUUUGGUAUUGGAGGUCUUUGCAGCUUCACACCUGCUCCUCUUUGUUCAUUAGCUGGAUCUCAGUGUUAUGUUUGGUUCCACUCGGCGUGAUAAGUUAUCUAUCGCUGAGGACACUGUAAAAGGUGGCCAAGGUAAAUGCAGAUGAACCGCUUCUAAUAGUCCAUUGACUUGGACAAUACUUUUAUGAUCUGAUCUCAAAUCAGGUAGGACUACCCGCUGAACUUAAGC
rnacentral:misc_RNA from 1 species